rnacentral:rRNA from 1 species
CCUACGGGUGGCAGCAGUGGGGAAUAUUGGGCAAUGGGCGCAAGCCUGACCCAGCAACGCCGCGUGCAGGAAGAAGGCUGUCGGGUUGUAAACUUCUGUUAAGAGGGAAGAGCAGAACACGGUACCUCUAGAAUAAGCCACGGCUAACUACGUGCCAGCAGCCGCGGUAAUACGUAGGUGGACAGUGUUGUCCGGCUUUCCUGGGUGUAAAGGGCUUGUAGCCGGGCUGACAAGGCAGAUGUGAAAUUCCGGGGCGCAAACCCGGAUCUGCAUUUGAAACUGUUGUUCUUGAGUAUCGGAGAGGCAGGCGGAAUUCCUAGUGUAGCGGUGAAAUGCGUAGAUAUUA